rnacentral:misc_RNA from 1 species
GGAAGGAUCAUUUGCAAAAUUGUUGUGGGGUGUAAGUUGAUGUGAGUGAUUGCAUCAACUCUGCUCCUAAAAGCACAGAGACUCUCGAGUUUUCUGAUGUUUGCGCUUGUAUUGUUUGACAUCUGUACCACUUUUAAAAUUAUAUAACUUUUAACAAUGGAUCUCUUGGCUCUUGCAUCGAUGAAGAACGCAGUAAAGUGCGAUAUGUAAUGCGAUCUGCAUGAAUCUGUGAGUCAUCAAAUCUUUGAACGCAACUUGCGCCUCUCUGAGGCAUGUCUGUUUGAGCGUCGUCUAUUACGUUGAUAAUUGACUUUGCAUCUUGCAUUGUUUAAACAGAGUUCGACACCAAUCAUUGGGUAGAGGUGAAUUAGAGUGCCAAGCAUCAUCCAAUUCACCCGAUACUCUUUCUUUUUGACCUCAAAUCAGGCAAGAUUACCCGCUGAACUUAAGCAUAUCAGUAAGCGGAGGAAAAGAAACUAACAAGGAUUCCCCUAGUAACGGCGAGUGAAGCGGGAUCAGCUCAAAUUUAUAAUCUCGACGUCUUACGUCGCGAAUUGUAUUCUAAAGUGAGGUAGAUUUAGGCGAGAGGAUGGUGCAAGUUGCUUGGAAUAGCGCGCCAGAGAGGGUGAGAGCCCCGUCCCACCAUCCUUGAACCGUUCAUCUGCUCACAACGAGUCGAGUUGUUUGGGAAUGCAGCUCAAAGCGGGUGGUAAAUCUCAUCCAAGGCUAAAUAUUGGCAAGAGACCGAUAGCAAACAAGUACCGUGAGGGAAAGAUGAAAAGCACCUUGAAAAGGGAGUUAAACAGUGCGUGAAAUUGUUGAAAGGGAAACGAUAGAGAUCAGUAUUGACGACUAUUUCAAACUCGUGCCUCGGUGCGGGUGGCGAAUGGUGGUCGAGUCAAAACUAGUUUUGAAUGCCGGAUACGAUGGUGAGAAAGGUAGAGUCGUCAGACUCUUUAUAGUCUCGUUAUUCUGCGGUGUUGAAGACUGGCACAUGGAGGUGCGAAUGUAGAGAUGGACAACGGAUUGGAGACGGUUGGACUAUACAUAGACUAGCAAUCUCCAAGCCAUACCCCCCUCCAUCUUCCACCUCCGCUUUGACGAAAUGGUCUUUAACGACCCGUCUUGAAACACGGACCAAGGAGUCUAACAAUGUUGCAAGCAUUAGAGUGGCAAACUCGCAUGCGCAAUUAACGUAAAAGCCCAUCAACACAUUUGUGCGCAGUGGGGACCGGGUGAGAGAUAUCUCUCUCGCACCGCGUAAGAGCAAUAUUGUUGGGACCCGAAAGGCGGUGAACUAUGCCUGACUAGGGCGAAGCCAGAGGAAACUCUGGUGGAGGCUCGUAGCCGUUCUGACGUGCAAAUCGAUGGUAAAAGUUGGGUAUAGGGGCGAAAGACUAAUCGAACCGCCUAGUAGCUGGUUCCCUC